GAAAUGCGAUAAGUAAUGUGAAUUGCAGAAUUCCGUGAAUCAUCGAAUCUUUGAACGCACAUUGCGCCCUCUGGUAUUCCGGGGGGCAUGCCUGCCCGAGCGUCAUUGCGAACCCCUCAAGCACGGCUUGUGUGAUGGGCCCUCCCGCGUCUUGGUCGUCAAGACGGGCCCGAAAUGCAGUGGCGGCUUCGCGGUUAUCCGAUCAGCCAGAGCGUAUGGGGACUUUCUCUCUGUCACACGCCCGCGGCGCGGACCGACGCCUGUCGACCUUCAUUCAUCGUUUUCUCGGUUGACCUCGGAUCAGGUAGGGAUACCCGCUGAACUUAAGC
rnacentral:misc_RNA from 1 species